GGGAUUACUGGUUUUUCCUCCCUUUGGUUCGUUCUUAUCAGUUUUUGCAGGUCUUCAUAUCUGGGGAAAAUCUGAGUUCUAUGCAGCGUUGGACACGCAUUCUACACGUUUGACUGAGAAAAGGAGCAAAUCAUGGAAGAACACUUGAUGAAAUUAUGCAUCAUGUUGACUCAAGUACUUCAGGGUCUUUCAAUCCUCCUGGGGGAUGACAGAGGAAUUUUUCAGGAUGAACUUUGAUUCAGAUGUAGAUGCAGGCUUCAGAGAAUUAGAUGUUGAACUGCUCACAGUUUUACCUGAAGGCAUGCCUGCCAAACGUCCACAUGCCCUCAACAUGGAUGCAAUGGAGGGAAGAAUUGUCAUGGAUGAUGUCCCAAAUUUGCCACAUUCUGUAUGUCUCCACUUUGCUUUGAUCUAUGCUCUAAAUUUAGACCAUCCAAAGACAAUGAGGAACACAUUUGAUUUUAUUCAGCGUGUAUUUCUGUCUUUGGGAGGAAAAAAUCUCAAACCCAAACUCCAAACCCUUAAAAAUGGUAUUUUAAGAUGAACUUGUUUCUGGCAUAUUUUGCUGUAAUUACAGUUCAGUUUAAGAAUCUUUCCAAAGACACAUGCAGGUUUUUCCAAAUUGUAAAGGCUCUUUUUCUUUUCUUUCUUUUUGUUUUAAUAAAUACUUUCUGGGAGUUUGCACAGUGCCUGUUCUGCAAAUGCUCUAUACCUUGUUUUGGUCCAGAUAUUAUGUUGUCAUGCAGCAGAGUGCUGCAAGAGGUCUAAGUCUUGAGAACAGAUUGUUUUAAAGGUAUAGUUUUUUUAUCUUAGAGUUUCAGCUGUUUAUUGCACAAAUAAACAGUUGAGAAUUUCAAACUUGUUAAGUGCGUUAUUAUGUUCAGUUUACUUAAAGAAAAUGUGGAAACCGAUUGCACGUAGUAUUUUAAGUGUACACAAAUUAAAGUGAUACAGUAAACUCAUGUUGAGAUUAGUGGUAUUUCAGA